rnacentral:sRNA from 1 species
AGUUUUCUUCUCUCCCCAUAGACUACAGUUUCGGGUGAAGAAGGAGGGCUGGGGCGGUGGCGGCACCCGCAGCGUCACCUUUGCCCGCGGCUUCGGCGACUUGGCAGUGCUCAAGGUUGGCGGUCGGACCCUCACGGUCAGCGUGGGCGAUGGGCUGCCCAAGAGCUCCAAGCCUACGCGGAAGGGAAUGGCCAAGGGAAAACCUCGGAGGUCGUCCCAGGCCCCUACCCGGGCGGCCCGUGCGCCCCCCAGAGGUGAGGAGCUGCGUCCCUUGCUAUCUUCCCUUGUCUGUUGUGGGUCCCAUGGCCUAAGCCAGACCUUCAGCAAACGAAAUCUAACAAACACAGUUUACUACUCACUUCUCUGUCCAGAACUCUCCAAAGCUCCACAUCUCCGGCAGAAUAAAGGCUAAACUUAGUUUGGCAUUCAGAGCCCUUCAAAACCCAAACCCGGCUAACCACUGACAUCUUCUCUCCUCCUACCCUACACUCCUGCCCUGUAAACUAC